CGGUGAGCGAAAGGCAGAGAAAAUGACUCGAGAGAGAUGAGCCUGUGAAGGAGGAGGUAUUUGAUGCUUCGAGAGGAGCAUCUUAAACUGAAACUCCAGCACCUCCACUUUCACACAAGGGAAAUUUCGGCUGCCGGCUCCUCUCCCCCUCCCUCCCUCGUGCCUACUUGCAGUUUAAAAGCGCGCGGGGGAAGCUCGGCUCAGACCAUUGUGACGCGAUGGAUGUAAGAGACGCCGAGUCAGCCCGGCACGCCGGGGCGAUACAGCGCCGGCAGGGCAGCGGCAGGGCCAGGCUGCUGGUGCUCUUCUUUGUUGCCCAGACGCUCCUGAUGGUGCUGUGCGUCGCUGCCAGCUUCCACAGCUUGUGGACCGUUCAGUCGCAGGUGCCUUCAGUGAUACAAGAGAUCCAGGGAAUGAAAGUACCUAGCAUCUACCUGCAAGUGCAUGGAAAGCCUGAAGCCAACACCAGCCUGCAGUUCAACAUCGAAUGGAGUCGCGAGAUCGAGCUCCAGAACAAGAGCAAGAUCAAGUUCCCUUGCACUGGCCCGUACCUGGUGUACGUGGCUUUAAAACCACAGGUCGGUUCGGACACCAGCCUCAUCCUGCGAGGGCGGGACAACCCACUGUACUUCCCUGUGACCGGCAAGAGCAACCAGUCAAUCCACUACUUCAAAAAGGGCGACGCCAUCACUGUGGACCUGACGACUACUGACACCAAUCUUAGGCUGGAUGAGCUGUCCCUGGGGUUCCAGUACUUGAGACACUCCUAGUCUAUUCCCCCAGUUUAAAUCAGCUAUGUUUUAAU
rnacentral:lncRNA from 1 species